UACUUCUCCUCGCUCUGUGUAGAGCAAUUUUAUCUUUCCUUCGUGGGUAGCCGCGCCGCUGCUGUAAACCUGGCGAGUAAGCGGAGUCCUUCUCGCUUUCAAGGAAAGGCCUUCUACCCUGAAAAAUCUUACUUGUUCCCAAUGACACGGGGAGGGGCAUUUUCGGAGACUAGCCUGUUUUCUAUCUUACUGUAAGAAAUUCCUCGUUGACUUGCCAAACCUUGUUAUGUUAAUCCUUUAAAAUGCUAAUUACACACUUAUGCUAUUCUCGCAUAAUUAGCCUAUAUUGAUUGUCGCAUAAUUGGCCGCUGGAACUCCUAACUCAAAGAGGAUUUGUUGUUAGCUUGUGCAGAAAGUCCAAAGUCCUCUGAAUGUCAAAGUGCUGUGAGAGAGCAUAUCGAGAAAGACCCAACCCAAGGGUCAUUCCUUCUUCGGUCGAUUGUUGGGGGGCAGGAGUGGAAACGUCUGAGAGAGUGCUUCGUGAAAGAAUCGUGUGGCGUGGUGAAAGGUUUCCCGUUGGUCUUCGAACCUUGGUCUUCAUCUAAUUUGCUACUUCAUAGGGAGGGUUCUAUUCGAUUGAUUGAAUGAUUUGAAAAAUGAAAAGUAGUUGUACUUCAUCUAGUGAAAGAAAGCCAGGGUCAGCUAUUCCCUCAACUGGCACAACAGCAAAGAUAUGGCCCACAGCUCGCGUGGAACUAAAAAUAACUGGGCAAAUCCCAACCCCUUCAUUAUCUAGCUUAGCUUUCCCUCUUUUCUUAACUACGUCAAACCUCUAUUACUUCUUCGCCAAUACCUUUUAGCUUUCCUUUAGUUGCUACUUUUUCCCAAUCCAUGCCCAUCUGAAGCAGAGCCGGGGAACGAGACGGGUUGAGGUUGAACCAGGAAAACAAGCCACAAAGAUAGUGUUUGACCCCGUUGCCCCUUUCUAUUAAAAUAUCUUUCCUCCUUUCUGAUCUAAGACCACACAGCAAUCACCUAUAUUAUACGUUAUUCUUUUGAUGUGAUAUUCAAUAAGAGCGAGUGACUUCGCUUAUAUCCCAUGGUAUCUUUUAAGAUGAAGGGCGCCCGUCCCACGAGACGGAGGAUUUAGGAGACCUCUUCCCAUGCUACUGCUUUGACGAAAUCUAACCCCACAGACGAUGGCCAGGGAUCAUCCUCUCAAUAGGACAGAAAGAAAGAAUCUUCCUAGGAAGAACCUAGACGGUUUCUGAAAGCACCCUUUACUUUGUUGUUCACAGUAGCAGCUUGCCAGGUGGGAGAAUGAGGACCGUCGGAUCGAGGGCAUGAAGGCUAUAACAUAGAGUUGGAGGCCUCAUUUCUGGGGCAUCCAGAAAAGCCAUCCCAUUCAAGAUGCCCCUACAACUAUCCCUGCUCCCUUCUAUCCUUGAUGAAUCAAUUGAACAACUUUACAGAUUUUUUCCGAACCGCUAUAGAAGCGAACGACUUGAUCGCGAACUAUAGUCUUUCUUUGUUCGACUGACCGACUCGAAUCGAUUGGGUUUCGUUCCGGGUAGUGUUUAGUCAUAAGCCUGUCUCUUUUGGUCCUUCACUUGUCUGCUUUCGUUCCACUCCUUUCCAACUCAUUUCCGGAAAAACAAUUUCAACACCGCGCCCCUUCUCCAGGGCGGCAGAUGGGUCUAGAGAACCGAACUGUCUCACGAUUUCCUUCCGGUUAGCUACACUUCUCCUGAGCAAUUCACGUAUCACUUGAGUAGUAGUACGAAACCCUUAAGAAAUGGUGAUCUACUAGUUGAUUCAAGGAAAAUCCGUUGAAGAAUGUCUGUUUUCUCGGUAGGGAAGAGUACAAUCUUUUCCAGCACCGGACAUUUUCACCACCGGUGCAAUAUGAAAGAGUCCUUUAUAAUUCGUUAGAAUACGAAUGAGAAAAAAAAAGCUCUGCCGAGGCUCGAGUAGAAAGAAGAGGUACUUGAACAGAGGGCCGUGGUUGGGUCUAGAGAGAGUGUGAAAAUCAAUUACACUGAAUCAUUCGAAAAGGGAUGGGCAAGGAAAGUCAGAGCUAAAUUCCGAAUAAGGUCGGAGGGUAUAAAACCAGAGACAAGUCUUUUAAGUUUCAUAUCUUGACCCAAUGUCGGGAGAAUUGGCUUACCGUGCCUCCAUUGCUGUAGUUGACGUUACAGCUGGGUUGGUUCAUUCCUUUGGCGAGCAAGCGCUAAAGCCCGCUUUCUUUGGGCUGGCAUUGAGUGGUACCAUACAUCAUCCCCUUAUAAUAGCAAAACUCAACAAGGCUCGACGCGAAGCACAAAAGUGCUUUAAGGCGCAUUAAUCAGGCUUUGAAGGUCACACAAGAAGGCUAUUCAACCGACAAAACGUAGGAAUUAGUGCGUGCUGAAAAAUGGACUUUUCUUUUUCUAAGUGAAGGGCAGGAGAAAGAAUCUUGCAUCUAUCUCGAGUUGCUCCCUUGAGCGAUCUAUCCCUGGUUUUGUGACGUCGAGUUUGCUCUAUUCUGCUCCUAUCAAGCUUCGCUUCGCGCAUGAUAGCGGCAUUAUUGGGGAAG
rnacentral:lncRNA from 1 species